rnacentral:lncRNA from 1 species
CUCAAACGAUAGAGAUAAAAGUAAAAAGUCCUCAGAUAGUGGACUCACCUGAAAGUCUCCUUCAAUUAUCCAUCACUUCUUCAUUUUUCACUGGAUGAAAUCAAUUGCAAACUUACAAAUCAUAGUCGCUUGAUAUUUCUUCACCAUCCUCUAUAGCUCCUUUUUAAAGAAGACCACCAAUUCAUUGACGUAUGCCUCCAAAGCCAAGAUGUCCUCCUCUGAAGGUCGAGGCAUCUCUCAAUAAAAACAACAAAGGCCUUGCACAACUUGAGCCAAAUAAUGGUCAUGAUUCAUACUC